CGAACGCUGGCGGCAUGCCUAACACAUGCAAGUCGCACGGGGGGGCUUCGGCCUCCCAGUGGCGGACGGGUGAGGAACGCGUAGGGACCUGUCGAGGGGUGGGGGAUAACCGCGGGAAACUGCGGCUAAUACCGCAUGACGCCGCGGCGUGACAGCCGGGGCCAAAGGCGAAAGCCGCCCGCCGAGGGGCCUGCGUCCGAUUAGCUGGUUGGCGGGGUAGCGGCCCACCAAGGCGUCGAUCGGUAGCUGGUCUGAGAGGGUGAUCAGCCACACCGGGACUGAGACACGGCCCGGACUCCUACGGGAGGCAGCAGUGGGGAAUAUUGGACAAUGGGCGCAAGCCUGAUCCAGCAAUGCCGCGUGGGUGAAGAAGGUCUUCGGAUUGUAAAGCCCUUUCGGCGGGGACGAUGGUGACGGUACCCGCAGAAGAAGCCCCGGCUAACUUCGUG
rnacentral:rRNA from 1 species